ensembl:lncRNA
CGCAAACGUUGUCCCGAGUGUUUAGCGCUCUGCACAGCCACCCCAAACUGUCAGCAGGGAAUACGUCGAAAUGCAUGGACGUCAUUAUUUGACACUUUAGUAUGGUUAGGGUUAGGGUUAGGGUUAGGGUUAGGACGCUAAGGACGGUCAGUGGGACCCGACACACGUCACCUCAUCUCCGAGUCCAGUGGUGGUUUCAAAAUGCUUUUAAGCUGACUUUCCUGCAAAAUUAAUGUGUGUGUGUGUUUGUGUGUGUGUGUAUGUGUGCGUGUAUGUGUUCAUGUCUGUGUGUGUGUUUGCUUGUGGGUGUGUGUUUGUGUGUGUGUGUGUGUGUGUUAAUGUCUGUGUGCGUGUGUGCGUGCAUACGUACGUGUGUGUGUGUGUGGAUAGGUGUAACCUGCUUAACCCAUUCCCCGUAUACAACCCAGAUAGCUAGGUUAACCCAUUCCCCGUAUAUAACACAGAUAGCUAGGUUAACCCAUUCCCCGUAUAUAACACAGAUAGCUAGGUUAACCCAUUCCCCGUAUAUAACACAGAUAGCUAGGUUAACCCAUUCCCUGUAUACAACACAGAUAGCUAGGUUAACCCAUUCCACGUAUAUAACACAGAUAGCUAGGUUAACCCAUUCCCUGUAUACAACACAGAUAGCUAGGUUAACCCAUUCCCCGUAUACACCACAGAUAGCUAGGUUAACCCAUUCCCCGUAUAUAACACAGAUAGCUAGGUUAACCCAUUCCCC